rnacentral:lncRNA from 1 species
CCACAAGAAAUAUACAAAUGUAGCUACCUUAAGUCCAUCCAUGACAGGCAAAAUCCUACGAAUCAGAAUUAGGUCAUAGAUCCGAUCAUAAGAAAUUAUUUCUAAGGCUUCUUGGCCAGUUUCCACUGAACAAGUUUCCACACCAAGUGUUUUCAAAAUAUCUAAUCCAUGACAGGCAAAAUCCUACGAAUCAGAAUUAGGUCAUAGAUCCGAUCAUAAGAAAUUAUUUCUAAGGCUUCUUGGCCAGUUUCCACUGAACAAGUUUCCACACCAAGUGUUUUCAAAAUAUCUUCAUGAAUCUUUCGAAUGUGCUCAUCAUUGUCCACAACAAGUGCUCUUACU